GGAGAAGGCAAAGUGCAGAGGAAGGAGGAGCCACUGCUAGUGGGUACGAGGUUUCUUCUUGGUACAAGGCCAAGAUCCAACUCAGAAGACUAGAAAAUGAACAACCCAGCAAACUUAGGAGAUGGGGAAGGAAGGGAAUUCAGAAGGUGAUAGCUGCAAGCAUCGGCAGACCAGUCCUAGCAAAAUGGAGUUUAAAAGGGGGACUUCUACGUUCUGUCCUCCUGCAGCCAUCUAAAAUCAGCCAGAAAGGUUUAGGAUCCCAUUUCCUGUUCUUGCAUCGGCUGUCCAAGCUGCUGUUCCUCUCUCCGCAGUAAGAGGGUGUUUCUCUCCCUGUUCAAGAGGAGCACCAACACUUGAGGACAGUAUCAUCCCUAGACCUUGGCAAGAGAGACCACUGAGUGAGGCAUCCAUGGAACCCAAGGAAGAGGCCUACGAAGAACCUGCAGUCACCUUCUAGACCAUUCUCCCUCACCAAACUGUCCCCUCCAGAGAGCUGAGGACUGGAUCUUCCCAUGCUGACACCUCCAGUGGGAAAGAAAAUUCUAGAUUCAGCUCUGGGUGUCCAAGUCAUUAUGAAGGCAUAUUUGUCAAGGUGGAAGAAAAGGACAUAUUCUAUUUAGCAGUUUAAAGAAGUAAUGCAUGACUCUGAUUUGCGGCUGCAGGAUAAAUCCGAACUAUUUCAGGGAGAUGUCAUGGAGAGCUCAUCUCUCAGCAUCAAAGUUGCCUCUCCUGACUUUUGAAUUUUAAGUGUUCUGUGUGGAAGAAAAAUGGAGACAACAAAUUUCUAUGCAUGGAUUCAAAGAAUCCUCGUAAUAUACAGACUACAUUCUCCCCAGCUUUUUAUCUCUAUAUAUUCUUUUUGUUGAGUUUCAACCACAUAGGGUUGAAAUUCACCUUCCCACAUUACAUUUUUCAUCAAUAGUUGAAGACCUAUGUAUGUAAAUAUCAGGAACUAUCAGAACUCCCUGCAACAGGAAACCUGACCCCCAACUCCCCCGAAAUGCAUCAUGAUAAACAGUCACUUGCCAAAAUAACAAAUCAGCUUCCUGGAACAUGCUUGCUCAAAACCAGGAGAGGAGCUUAGAGACGUCAGCUUGACUUCUGCCUCGUACGCAGGAAGGGUGACCUUCAAAGAUCAAACAUCGUCCCAAAUCUCCCUUCAUCUUGUAGUACUCCUGCUUGUCGUAGCUCCUGUUACCAUCAGAGACAGAAUGUGCUAUAACCUUCUGGAAACUUCUACUAUUUUCCUGCAACCUGACUACCCCUUAGGUGAGGGAGUCCAGAAUGCUGGCUUGAAAUGGGAGAGAGAAAGAACUGCCACAUAAUUUGCAAGAUCUUUUUUGAAAAAGAAAAGGUAUUAAGAAUUCCAGGACAGCAUUAGGAAUGUAUUAAACCAGAAUAAGGAACAGCGGAGCUUCCCCCUAAGACCCUGGUGUGUUUCUGCAUCAGGAAACCUUCUCUCCUGCAAUGUGUCGUUUAAGAUUGAACAACAUGGUGCCUUUGCCAGAAGUUAACAGGAAACCCAAAAGGAGAUGAGCCAGACUGGUUAGUUCAGAAGAGAAUCGUUGGGGAAGACAAUGGGAGCUGCUGUUUGAAUGUGGCCCUGAGAUUAUUUGUGCUUUUCAAUCCCAUGUUACCAAAACACAUUUCAAGCUGGCCUAUAAAUCACACCUUGUGCAUAAUUUUAAGUGGAUAAAUAUUUGUCGCCCAAGUGAAUGAUGCUUCCAGCUUUCAAAAAAUUGUAUUAAGUGUGGUUAUUAUUAUAA
ensembl:lncRNA novel transcript